CUUUGGAUAUGCUCUUAUAAAUCUGGUGUCCAUUGAUAGUCCGAUUUUGGAUAAAGCGUCCGAGUCCUCACUUAUUUUGUUUAUUUAGUUGUAUAGGCUCGUAUACCAGUUGUGGUUGUACAUAGGCCUAAUUAAUUUAUGUGAUUUAGUAUUGGUUGAUUUAGUAUUGAUGCGAAUUGGUCCAUAAAUCUUCCUGGUCGUCCUUCUAUGGAUAUGCUUUAUGAAUCUGGUGUCCAUUGAUAGUCCGACUUUGGAUUAAGUGUCCGAUUCCACAUUUAUUUUGAUUAAUGAGUUUUGGAUAACUUUGAUAUGCUUACUAUUUGUAUUAUUUGGCACUGGUGAGAAUUGUUCCAUAAAUAUUCCUGAUUGUUCUUCUCUGGAUAUGCUAUUAUGAAUCUGGUGUCCAUUGGUAGUUCAAUUUUGGAUUAAGUGUUCGAUUCUUCACUGAUUUUAGUUUUGAUUUCUUUUGUCAUACUUUAGUAUAUUUACUUGUGUUAUGGUGCGAAUUGGCUCAUACCUUGGCCUGGUUGUUCGUCCUUGGAUAUACCCUCUAUAAAUUUGAUGUCCAUGGAUAGUUCAAUUUUGGAUUUAGUGCCAGUUCGACAUUUAUUUGUCAUUAUGAACUUUAGUAUAUUAUUUAGCUUAUGUUUAGGCUUUCAGACAAAAUGUCGAUGACAUUUUAAUAUGACUUUAAGUCAUCUUUUGCGAUUCAUAGUUUUGGUGUAGUGAUCAUCCUUCUUUCCCUUGAUCCUUAAUUUGUGGUUACUCAUAGUCUUGCGGAUCACCGUAGAAUGAUAGAUUAUUACCACUUAGUUAUGAUAAUUUGAAUGUUAAAAAAAAAAAUUUUUUGCUUAAAAUUUUUUUUUCUCCCAGUAGGAGGGGAUUAUAACAUUCCGUUAACUUCUAAUCAUUUUUAUUGUUAUGCGAUUUAAAUUUUAAUAAUGUUCUGUUAUUAAAUUCUACUUGAAACAAUUACUAAUAAAUAUUUCGUCUUUCACUGACGACAUCACAAACCUAUAGAUUAGCAGACCUGUACGUUUUGUACCUUGUGUACUCCUGGCGGUAAACCCAUGAACCGUAUUGUGACAUGGUCGGCGUAGAACGGAAAAUAAGAUAUCACUUUGGUCGGAGCCUUCAACCGAAUAAGUACCUAGUGGCAGAUAAGCUAUCCACGUAAAAGUGGCGAAUAUUUCAUUCUUGUUUCAAGUCAUAGUAUUAUUUUGAAAAGAAAUUAUCCAAGUUUAUUACGUAUGUGUUUAGUGGGCUGAAGAAACGAGGUUGGAGGUUCGCAGCAGUGAUUUGUGGUUUAUCUGCCACUGGGGAAAAUCUUUUAACUACUCCUACCACCUGAGAAGGACCGCUUUUCGACCAAGUCACCUAGGGGACAAGUACUAGAGGAACAUGUAAUUUUUGUUCUUCAUUAUCCUGCAUUUUGGAGAAUUGCCGUGUUACGGUUGACUGCGUAGCACCAUUCUGUGCUUAAGACUUUACUGAGAAGUAGUAAGGAAAACUUGUGGGGACAAUAUCAGGUCAAUCGGGUUUGUUUCGGGAACUUUUUAUAUUUAACAGUGCAAUAGUUAUCUACCUAUACCAGUACACUUAUACACUUAUUUUUUUUAUAAUAUCCAGAACAUUUAAGUAAUUAACAUACACAUAAUUCAAUAGCGCUCCCACACCUGUAUGUCUCUUUGUAAAAGAGGAUAAUUUGGGCCCAAAUAACCUUUUCCCAUACAGUAGUUCCUUACAUUUAUUUUUUAUUAAUAUUAUUAGACUUGUUUCCCAUAUUUUUCAUAUAACUAUAUAUAUAUUUUAAUAUUAUUAGCUUGUUUCUUGUAAUUUAAAUUCCCAAUUUGUUUGCUUAACUUAAAUUCAUUUGUUAUUAAAUUAAAUUCAAUCCCUAAUCCCUAUCCCUUCAGGAUAGCUAUUAGUUUCACUUGGUCAUUAUUAAAAACCACGAGUCAGAAAAAGGAUCUUUAUCAUCCAGGACUGCGUUGGUUCAGUUAGGUGUUGCCUAUUCAACUCAUUGAGUUAUAUAUAUUUGUAUGGUUCAUCCUAGGUAGGUAUUUUAGUAUUGAUUUCUUGUAGUAUUUAACGUUGCUGUACGUAUUACAAUCGUACGAUUAUUUGGUGAAGGUUGUUGUUUAACCUUAGUGUAAGUUGGGGGUACGCUCCAUAUAAGAGCUACCCCAGUACUAAUGUAAUUAUAGUUGUAUACUCAUAUUCAGAUAAGUAGUUAAGUCAAAUUGUCAUUUUAGAGUUACAUAGGUUGUAUUUUUUCUAACUCAGAGGUUGUCAAUAAUCUAGGUAGUUAUAUUUUAAUAAAUAUUUAUUUGUUUGUA